rnacentral:rRNA from 1 species
CAGCAGCCACGGUAAUACGAGGGGGGCAAGCGUUGUUCGGAUUUAUUGGGCGUAAAGGGUGCGUAGGCGGUUUGGCAAGUCUUGUGUGAAAUCUAUGGGCUCAACCCAUAGCCUGCACGAGAAACUACCGGGCUUGAGUAAUGGAGAGGUGAGUGGAAUUUCCGGUGUAGCGGUGAAAUGCGUAGAUAUCGGAAGGAACACCUGUGGCGAAAGCGGCUCACUGGACAUUAACUGACGCUGAUGCACGAAAGCUAGGGGAGCAAACAGGAUUAGAUACCCCCGUAGUCCCUGUCUCUUAUAC